rnacentral:rRNA from 1 species
CCUACGGGAGGCUGCAGUGGGGAAUAUUGCACAAUGGGGGAAACCAUGAUGCAGCAACGCCGCGUGAGCGAUGAAGGCCUUCGGGUCGUAAAGCUCUGUCCUAAGGGAAGAAUACUGACGGUACCUUAGGAGGAAGCCCCGGCUAACUACUUGCCAGCAGCCGCGGUCAUACGUAUGGUGCUAGCGUUAUCCGGAAUUACUUGGAGUAAAGGGUGCGUAGGCGGCCCUUCAAGUUUGAGGUGAAAUGCUACGGCUCAACCGUAAUAAGCCUUUGAAACGGUAGGGCUUGAGUGCUGGAGCGGAGAGUGUAAUUCCCAGUGUAGCGGUGAAAUGCGUAGAUGUUGUGAGGAACUACAGUAGCGAGGGGGGUUCUCUGGACUGUAACUGACGCUGAGGCACGAAAGCGUGAGGAGCGAACAGUAAUAGAUUCCCCGGUAGUC